rnacentral:lncRNA from 1 species
ACAGUGAGGACAUUGCACAUUUAUAGUGUGGGGAAGGACAUAUUUUUCCUUGCUUUCUUGUUUUUUUAGUUAUCUUUCUUAUUAUUUUUUAUACAUCUUUCCUUGUAAUGCAAACUUUUCAUUUUCUCCAUUACUUAUUGAAAUUUUCAUUUUUCUAUUCACUGUUAUUUUUCUUAUUUUUUUGCUUUUGAUUUAUAGCUCGGCCGAAUUUCUCUAUUCAUU